UACCUGCGGAAGGAUCAUUA
rnacentral:rRNA from 5 species